GAUGAAGAACGCAGCGAAUUGCGAUAAGUAAUGUGAAUUGCAGAUUUUCAGUGAAUCAUCGAAUCUUUGAACGCAUCUUGCGCUCCUUGGCAUUCCGAGGAGCAUGCCUGUUUGAGUGUCAUGAAACUAUCAAACUACAAUUGUUUUUUUAAACAGUUGCUGGUUUGGAUGUUGGAUGCUUGCUGGACAGUUGUAUGACCCAGCUCAUCUGAAAUUUAUCAGCUGAUCCAAACAUCAUGGAUUAUCCACUUGGCAUGAUAAGUAUCACUUGCUGAGGACUUAUCUAUCGAUGAUGGAUUGCUUCUAAUCAUAGAUACUGCUGUAUCAUAUUGAAUCAUCUGACCUCAAAUCAGGUAGGACUACCCGCUGAACUUAAGCAUAUCAAUAAGCGGAGGA
rnacentral:misc_RNA from 1 species